AAAAUGAGAAGAUAUAUAACGGCUGACUGGUCUCUGUCUAUUGUCUCUUCAUCUGCUCUGCCUCUCAACACUUCAAAAGACAAAGUCCAGUUCACUCAUCCUCUCUGUAUCAGACAUUACUACGGCAAAGAUAGAAUCACGUUUUCACUUGGCUUUCUGCCUCUGUUUGAUCAGUGGACUGUUGAUUUC